CCUACGGGAGGCUGCAGUGGGGAAUAUUGCACAAUGGGCGCAAGCCUGAUGCAGCCAUGCCGCGUGUGUGAAGAAGGCCUUCGGGUUGUAAAGCACUUUCAGCGGGGAGGAAGGCGUUAAGGUUAAUAACCUUGUCGAUUGACGUUACCCGCAGAAAAAGCACCGGCUAACUCCGUGCCAGCAGCCGCGGUAAUACGGAGGGUGCAAGCGUUAAUCGGAAUUACUGGGCGUAAAGCGCACGCAGGCGGUCUGUCAAGUCGGAUGUGAAAUCCCCGGGCUCAACCUGGGAACUGCAUUCGAAACGGGCAGGCGAGAGUCUUGUAGAGGGGGGUAGAAGUCCAGGGGUAGCGGGGAAAUGCGUAGAGAGCUGGAGGAAUACCGGUGGCGAAGGCGGCCCCCUGGACAAAGACUGACGCUCAGGUGCGAAAGCGUGGGGAGCAAACAGGAUUAGAUACCCUUGGAGUC
rnacentral:rRNA from 1 species